rnacentral:rRNA from 1 species
GAUGAACGCUGGCGGCGUGCCUAAUACAUGCAAGUCGAGCGAACGGACGAGAAGCUUGCUGCUCUGAUGUUAGCGGCGGACGGGUGAGUAACGCGUGGAUAACCUACCUAUAAGACUGGGAUAACUUCGGGAAACCGGAGCUAAUACCGGAGAAUAUUUUGAACCGCAUUGUUCAAAAGUGAAAGACGGUCUUGCUGUCACUUAUAGCUGGUUCCGCGCUGCAUGAGCUGGUUGGUAAGGUAACGGCUUACCAAGGCUACGAUGCAUAGCCGACGGGAGAGAGUGAUCGGCCACCCUGGAACUGAGACACGGUCCAGACUCCUACGGUAGGGAGCAGUAGGGAAUCUUCCGCAACGGGCGAAAGCAUGACGGAGCAACGCGGCGUGAGUGAUGAAGGUCUUCGGAGCGUAAAACUCUGUUAUUAGGGAAGAACAUAUGUGUAAUUAACUGUGCACAUCUUGACGGUACCUAAUCAGAAAGCCACGGCUAACUACGUG